AAGUCGAACGGAGAUUACUUCGGUAAUCUUAGUGGCGAACGGGUGAGUAACGCGUGGGCAACCUGCCCUCUAGAUGGGGACAACAUCCCGAAAGGGGUGCUAAUACCGAAUAUGACAGCAAUCUCGCAUGAGGAUGCUGUGAAAGAUGGCCUCUAUUUAUAAGCUAUCGCUAGAGGAUGGGCCUGCGUCUGAUUAGCUAGUUGGUGGGGUAACGGCCUACCAAGGCGAUGAUCAGUAGCCGGUCUGAGAGGAUGAACGGCCACAUUGGGACUGAGACACGGCCCAGACUCCUACGGGAGGCAGCAGUGGGGAAUCUUCCGCAAUGGGCGAAAGCCUGACGGAGCAAUGCCGCGUGAGUGAUGAAGGAAUUCGUUCCGUAAAGCUCUUUUGUUUAUGACGAAUGUGCAGGUUGUGAAUAAUGACUUGUAAUGACGGUAGUAAACGAAUAAGCCACGGCUAACUACGUGCCAGCAGCCGCGGUAAUACGUAGGUGGCGAGCGUUGUCCGGAAUUAUUGGGCGUAAAGAGCAUGUAGGCGGUUUUUUAAGUCUGGAGUGAAAAUGCGGGGCUCAACCCCGUAUGGCUCUGGAUACUGGAAGACUUGAGUGCAGGAGAGGAAAGGGGAAUUCCCAGUGUAGCGGUGAAAUGCGUAGAUAUUGGGAGGAACACCAGUGGCGAAGGCGCCUUUCUGGACUGUGUCUGACGCUGAGAUGCGAAAGCC
rnacentral:rRNA from 1 species